rnacentral:rRNA from 1 species
GGAUGCGAUCAUACCAGCACUAAAGCACCAGAUCCCAUUAGAACUCCGAAGUUAAGCGUGCUUGGGCGAGAGUAGUACUAGGAUGGGUGACCUCCUGGGAAGUCCUCGUGUUGCCUUCC